GUUUGCACAGUCCAGCAUGGCUCCUCACUGGGCCGGGCUGUAGCUGGCUGGGUUUUGUUGGUGAGGUUUAGGUAGCACAGUUUUAGGAUAUGGGUAUAAACAUUAAUAUUUCUCCCCAAGAAUUCUCAUCUAGACAGAUGAAAGCCGUCUGUGGCUUUACAAGGUAAGACCCCCGUGGAGGGCAGGUUCUUGGUGACCAUUCCUCCCAGGGCCCCAUGGGGCUGGCAGCCAGAGCACUGGCCCCACCGCAGGGUGCCCGUCCCUGGCUCCUCAGCUCCUGCACAGCAGCCAGCUGGCCGUGCCCUGGCUGACCGCCGUUCUCUCUCUUCUCUCCCGGCUACAGUUUGCUUCCUCAGGGCUUUUUACUAUCUGGCUCCUUUGGUUUCUGAUCUAGUGGCCUUUCUCAGUUCCCGUAUCAACAGCUUUAGUUGUACACCCCUCCUGCCUUUGAGGAUGACAUGCACAGGGUCAUUGACCGGCAGCUGAUGGACACGCACCUGAAGGAACGGAGCCAGCCAGCUGCUGCCCUCUGCAGGGG
rnacentral:lncRNA from 1 species